ACGCUAGCUACAGGCUUAACACAUGCAAGUCGAGGGGCAGCGGGUUGAAAGCUUGCUUUCAAUGCCGGCGACCGGCGCACGGGUGCGUAACGCGUAUCAAACCUGCCUCAUACUCGGGGAUAGCCUUGCGAAAGUAAGAUUAAUACCCGAUGUUGUUGCUUUCUCGCAUGGGAGAGUAACCAAAGAUUUAUCGGUAUGAGAUGGUGAUGCGUCCGAUUAGGUAGUAGGCGGGGUAACGGCCCACCUAGCCUUCGAUCGGUAGGGGUUCUGAGAGGAAGGUCCCCCACACUGGAACUGAGACACGGUCCAGACUCCUACGGGAGGCAGCAGUGAGGAAUAUUGGUCAAUGGGCGAGAGCCUGAACCAGCCAAGUAGCGUGCAGGAUGACGGCCCUCCGGGUUGUAAACUGCUUUUAGUUGGGAAUAAAAAAAGGGACUUGUCCCUUCUUGUAUGUACCUUCAGAAAAAGGACCGGCUAAUUCCGUGCCAGCAGCCGCGGUAAUACGGAAGGUCCAGGCGUUAUCCGGAUUUAUUGGGUUUAAAGGGAGCGUAGGCGGAUUGUUAAGUCAGCGGUUAAAGGGUGUGGCUCAACCAUGCAUUGCCGUUGAAACUGGCGAUCUUGAGUGCAGACAGGUAUGCCGGAAUUCGUGGUGUAGCGGUGAAAUGCUUAGAUAUCACGAAGAACUCCGAUCGCGAAGGCAGGUGUCCGGGCUGCAACUGACGCUGAGGCUCGAAAGUGUGGGUAUCAAACAGGAUUAGAUACCCUGGUAGUCCACACAGUAAACGAUGUAUACUCGCGGUUUGCGAUAGAUUGUAAGCCGCCAAGCGAAAGCAUUAAGUAUACCACCUGGGGAGUACGCCGGCAACGGUGAAACUCAAAGGAAUUGACGGGGGCCCGCACAAGCGGAGGAACAUGUGGUUUAAUUC
rnacentral:rRNA from 1 species